GGCCUGUUGGUGUAGUGGUAACACACCUGCUUGAUAUUUAUGUACAACUUGUUGUUUCAGUAGGGAUCCUUGUUCGACUCAAGGUCAGACCG